rnacentral:rRNA from 1 species
GAUGAACGCUAGCGGGAGGCUUAAUACAUGCAAGUCGAGGGGUAACAGGGGCUUCGGCCCGCUGACGACCGGCGCACGGGUGAGUAACGCGUACGCAACUUACCUCCAAGCGAGGGAUAGCCCUGGGAAACUGGGAUUAAUACCUCAUGUGAUUAUGAUGCCGCAUGGUGUUAUAAUUAAAGUUCAGGCGCUUGGAGAUGGGCGUGCGUCCUAUUAGCUAGUUGGUGAGGUAACGGCUCACCAAGGCGACGAUAGGUAGGGGGCGUGAGAGCGUGGCCCCCCACACGGGUACGUGAGACACGGACCCGACUCCUACGGGAGGCAGCAGUAAGGAAUAAUUGGACGAAUAGGGCGGCAAGCCU